GGAUUCCAGGUCUUGGCAACCUUUGAAAUUCCAAUUCCAUUUGAGAGAGCUUUGAUGAGGCCAUAUGCUGAUUUCACCACCAGCAACUUCACAACCCAGUACUGGAAUGCCAUCAGCCAGCAGGCCCCUGUCAUCACCUGUGACUUCUAUCUGUGGCUCACUGGAAGGAAACGUAGACAUGCUGUGCAACUUAACAUCACUGCCACCCAGAAGCUCUUACGGCUAGUCAGAUGCCAAAGCUGGAAGCCUUUAUACAUAUCUCUACUGCCUUUUCAAAUGGUAACCUGAAGCACAUCGAUGAAGUUGUUUAUCCGUGCCCUGUGGAGCCAAAAAAAAAAUCGUCGAUUCCCUUGCGUGGUUAGACGACGCUGUUAUUGACGAGAUCACACCCAAGCUGAUCAGAGAUCCGCCCAAUUCUUGCACCUACAUCAAGGCCUUGGGAGAAAUGGUGGUGCAGCAGGAGAGCAGAAACCUAACCAUCGCCAUCAUAAGGCCCUCCAUUGUGGGAGCAACGUGGCAUGAGCCUUUGGGUUGGGUUGAAAAUCUAAAUGGACCUAGCAGACUUAUU
rnacentral:lncRNA from 1 species